rnacentral:rRNA from 1 species
UACGGAGGGAGCUAGCGUUGUUCGGAAUUACUGGGCGUAAAGCGCGCGUAGGCGGCUUUGUAAGUUAGAGGUGAAAGCCCGGAGCUCAACUCCGGAACUGCAUUCGAUACUGCGGUGCUUGAGGACUGGAGAGGAGACUGGAAUUCAUGGUGUAGCAGUGAAAUGCGCAGAUAUCAGGAGGAACACCGAUGGCGAAGGCGGAUCUCUGGGCCUUGCCUGACGCUGAGGCGCGAAAGCUAGGGGAGCGAACAGG